rnacentral:rRNA from 1 species
UGAAUACGAGACGCUACGGCGUCGAAGCAGUCUAUGUCAUACUUCCAAGAAAAGCUUGCACUGUCAUAAACAAAUAAUGCCUGUACCAUAACCGACACAGGUGGGUAGGUAGAGUAUACUAAGGGGCGCGAGAUAACUCUCUCUAAGGAACUCGGCAAAAUGACUCCGUAACUUCGGGAGAAGGAGUGCCUUAUUUAUAAGGUUGCAAUAACAAGAUCCAAGCAACUGUUACCAAAAACACAGGUCUCCGCUAAGUCGUAAGACGAUGUAUGGGGGCUGACGCCUGCCCAGUGCCAGAAGGUUAAAGAAGUCGGUUAGCAUUAGCGAAGCUGGUAACUGAAGCCCUGGUGAACGGCGGCCGUAACUAUAACGGUCCUAAGGUAGCGAAAUUCCUUGUCGGGUAAGUUCCGACCCGCACGAAAGGCGUAAUGAUUUGGAUACUGUCUCGGAGAGGGACUCGGUGAAAUAGACUUGUCUGUGAAGAUGCGGACUACCUGCACCAGGACAGAAAGACCCUAUGAAGCUUUACUGUAACUUGAAAUUGAAAUUGGACUUUAUUUGCGCAGUAUAGGUGGGAGGUGUUGAGAGUAUUCUUGCGGGAAUAUUGGAGCCAUCAGUGAGAUACCACUCUUGUAAUCUUAGAUUUCUAACUUUGUAUCAUUAUCUGGUCAAAGGACAGUUUCAGGCGGGCAGUUUGACUGGGGCGGUCGCCUCCUAAACGGUAACGGAGGCGCACAAAGGUUUCCUCUGAACGGGUAGAAAUCGUAUCUAGAGUGUAAAGGCAUAAGGAAGCUUGACUGUGAGACCUACAAGUCGAGCAGGGACGAAAGUCGGUCUUAGUGAUCUGACGGUGCUGAGUGGAAAGGCCGUCACUCAACGGAUAAAAGUUACUCUAGGAUAACAGGCUGAUCUCCCCCAAGAGUUCACAUCGACGGGGAGGUUUGGCACCUCGAUGUCGGCUCAUCGCAUCCUGGGGCGGUAGUACGUCCCAAGGGUUGGGCUGUUCGCCCAUGAAAGCGGUACGCGAGCUGGGUUCAGAACGUCGUGAGACAGUUCGGUCCAUAUCCGGUGUAGGCGUUAGAAUAUUGAGAGGAGCCUUCUUUAGUACGAGAGGACCGAGAAGGACAUACCUCUGGUGUACCAGUUAUCGUGCCAACGGUAAACGCUGGGUAGCUAUGUAUGGAGAGGAUAACCGCUGAAAGCAUCUAAGUGGGAAGCCCACCUCAAGAUAAG